ACGCCGGCUGAACGUAAAAAUAGUAAAUAAAUUUUGUACUUUUUUGACUGCCGUUAUCACUCACUUAAUACCAGAUUAACUAGAGCAGUAGUUACCAAAAACCAAAAAAACGCCUGAAAUAAUACAAUACAUAUAAGAUUUCUAUCAGAGCUAGAACUCCUGAUCAAUAAUAUCUAGGUUACGAUUGCGAUUAAGUCAAAAAAAACUCCACCUGGUGGCAAGGUACACAAUCACUCAUAGCGCGUCUAGAAAAAGGCCCUUUUAACGACUCCGAGUUUAUUAGAAUGUGAUAAAAACGUUUUUGGGGAUGUGGACAUUUAUUGAAGAAAAUAUUCGAAUAGAGACAGAACAAAUGGCAUUAAGCAUAAAAGAUUGGAUUGGAAUAAUUUCUAACAUUUUGCCUUGGCCGAUUUACGUAAUUGAACUGCCUGUGCCUUGGUGUUUAAAAUUAGAAUUAUGGUUACUUUCUGGUAGUUGUGGGCAAAAAUCGCCCUUGAAAAUGAUAAAUGGAUCCUGGAUAAUGAUAGCUAUCACUCAAGAGAAUACGAAAAAAUACCCAAGUUUUUUUGAAAAAAAAACAUUAUUCAUUGGCAUAUUUCAAAUAAGAAGCAAUUCCAUAAAGAUAUGCUGAAAAUGGAGGUAAUGGAGAUGGUAAGUUUGAAUAAACCUCUUUAUACGAAAUUUAUUGUAGACGAAAUCGUUUGAAAACGAAAUAUUUGUACUUUGUCUUCGCCGUGAAUUAUUAUCUCCAUAAUAAUAAUAAUAAUAAUUAUUAUUAUUAUAUUAUUAUUACAAACUACUUGUAUUAACGCCGCUGUAACAUUACUUUCAUUCAACAAACUCGUCUUGCUAUUGUAUUCAAGCUGGUGUAAUUCUAAUUUUGGAACGAUUCAAGUUAUGUAGCUCUUAAAAGCCGAAUACGGAAAACUAUCAUUGCCAAUUAUCUGAACUUUGGAAUAUAAUCUUUAAGUUGUCCAAUGAUCCCUGAUAUUUUCCGAGGGGCAAAAAUUCACGGAUUUCGCAAAGAUUUCACCGGUUUCAGAUUUCACGGAUUCUACAUAGAUUUAACAGAUUUAUAAAUGAUUAUCCAGAUUUCGCUAAUUUUGAAAAACAAAUUUUAGGUUCAGUAAUAAAUUUUUAUAUUCCGUCGUAAUUCAAAAACUAUGAAGUGAAAAUAAUAUACAAAAAACACCCUGAGAACUUAAAACGAAAAGCGGGAAAGAAUAUCGUGUCAGUGCUAAAUACAAAUUUUAUAAAUUCCAUAAAUUUUCUUUCCUUCUUAUUUUUUUUCUUUUUCUUCAAAUUUAAGCAAGUAAUUUCCUUCAUACAGAAGGGUAGAUUUAACACAUUUGGCUAUGAAUUUCGGUAAUUCUCAAUUUCCUGUCCAUAAAAAAACAGAGAAAAUAUUUUUUAUGAUCUUAUCUUGCUUUAUGUCUUAUAGCCUUAAAAAUGCCGAACGGAAGACAAUAAUUUUCCAUGUAUUCCACAAAACCAAAUGAAACAUCACCGCAACUUUCAUAUAAUUUUAUUAUAAUUAGAUACUCGGGUAGUUACCAGCUGCUAAUCACAUAUUGGAAUUUGGUUUGGAUUAAUUGGUUUACUAUUAAAAGAUGAUUUAACUGAUGGAAAGUGUUCUAAACCUAAAAUGUUAAGAAUAGGGAUUUCACACAGCUGGUACACCAGAUUUCACAGAUAGCUAUUUUUCACCACACUUAGUUGUCUUUACGAAUACUAACAUAAAUUGAAGCCAUACAUUUUGUCAAAAAGACAUAACAAUUAACACACUGUAAUAAAAAGCUGUAAUUAGUUCUUAAUUUGAUUUAGCUUUUAAAAAAUAAUUUAAAUUAGUCCACUGACUAAGUAUCUUUUUUGUGAUAUUUUGUGCUUUCAUUUCUUUGGACAGCUGCGUCUGUCUGUUGGAAAGACCUGUUUAUAAAUAAAUAAAUAAAUAAAUACCUUAUUUAAAACGAGUAUUUCUUUCCUUCCAGUUCCUUCAUAAGGAGGCUGUAAUAACCUAGUUAGUC